UCACCAGUUUGUGAACCAUCAUUCCGUUCCUAUGUUAUCUCUACGAGGAGCUAAGUGAGGUCUAAUAUAUGAGGAAUUAGGAAAGGUUUUAUCGAUUUCUUCGCUUUAAAAAGCACUUAUUUCAAUACCAGAACUGAAUUUUUUAUACCCGUUUGCAAUCACAUCAAUGAGCGUGAUGGCUUAGAUUCCCAAAGGAUGAGAAGCAGAAAAAAAUUGGACCAGAAAUAAAAGGUCAUCACAAAUGGAGUUGGAUUCAUUGGCCCAGCAAUAAGUUUUUCAUAUGGACUGAUAUUCAUUUACAGCUUAAGGUGUUUGUAUUGAAAAUGUACAUAUUAUAAAUGUAUGUAAAAAAAAUAAAA